CUAUUGAGGCGAAGGCGCCCGUACCGCAAACCGACACAGGUAGGCGAGAAGAGAAUUCUAAGGCGCGCGGAAGAACUCUCGUUAAGGAACUCGGCAAAAUGACCCCGUAACUUCGGGAGAAGGGGUGCCCCGGUAGAGUGAAUAGCUCGAGGGGGCCGCAGUGAAAAGGCCCAAGCGACUGUUUAGCAAAAACACAGGUCUGUGCGAAGCCGCAAGGCGAAGUAUACGGGCUGACGCCUGCCCGGUGCUGGAAGGUUAAGGGGAGUGGUAAGCCGCAAGGUGAAGCUAUGAACUGAAGCCCCAGUAAACGGCGGCCGUAACAAUAACGGUCCUAAGGUAGCGAAAUUCCUUGUCAGGUAAAUUCUGACCCGCACGAAUGGCGUAACGACUUGGGCGCUGUCUCAACGAGAGAUCCGGUGAAAUUUUAAUACCUGUGAAGAUGCAGGUUCCCCGCGACAAGACGGAAAGACCCCAUGGAGCUUUACUGCAGCUUGAUAUUGAACUUGGGUACGAUUUGUACAGGAUAGGUGGGAGCCGUGGAGGCCUGUGCGCCAGCAUAGGCGGAGGCGCCGUUGGGAUACCACCCUGAUCGUACCGAAGUUCUAACCCCUGCCCCUGAAACGGGGAGGGGGACCGUGUCAGGCGGGCAGUUUGACUGGGGCGGUCGCCUCCUAAAGAGUAACGGAGGCGCCCUAAGGUUCCCUCAGAAUGGUUGGAAAUCAUUCGCAGAGUGCAAAGGCAGAAGGGAGCUUGACUGCGAGACGUACAGGUCGAGCAGGGACGAAAGUCGGGCUUAGUGAUCCGGUGGUACCGAAUGGAAGGGCCAUCGCUCAACGGAUAAAAGCUACCCUGGGGAUAACAGGCUUAUCUCCCCCAAGAGUCCACAUCGACGGGGAGGUUUGGCACCUCGAUGUCGGCUCAUCGCAUCCUGGGGCUGCAAUCGGUCCCAAGGGUUGGGCUGUUCGCCCAUUAAAGCGGUACGCGAGCUGGGUUCAGAACGUCGUGAGACAGUUCGGUCCCUAUCUGUCGCGGGCGCAGGAAAUUUGAGAGGAGCUGUCCUUAGUACGAGAGGACCGGGAUGGACGUACCGCUGGUGUACCAGUUGUCUCGCCAGAGGCAUAGCUGGGUAGCCAAGUACGGAAGGGAUAAGCGCUGAAAGCGUCUAAGCGCGAAGCCCCCCUCAAGAUGAGAUUUCCCAGUAUGUAAGACCCCUUGUAGACGACGAGGUAGAUAGGUCCGGGGUGGAAGUGCCGCAAGGCAUGGAGCUGACGGAUACUAAUCGGUCGAGGGCUUACCCG
rnacentral:rRNA from 1 species